GAAGAUCGCGAGACUCUGGUUGCUGCUGGUUGUUCGUGGUCUGCCAUCUUAACCACUCAGACUCACUUUGUAUAUAUAUUGUCGGAUGCGUUCCUGGCUCGAGCCGCACUCCAUAUGUCACAAGCGUAGAGUUGCAUAGCGGCUGAUUUCGGCACGCCGCCACCACCGAGAGAACGGCUCAAGCGCCCCAUACGUGACCUUUAAACCACACCAAAUUUGAAAGCACAUUUUGUGGAAAUGCCGAAGCAGCAGGCCCUCCAGGGAUCAUCUCUCCAUUGUGCAUACGACGAGGGCCCAUAAAGAAUGAUGCACGUCGAUCAUAAGACGCUACAGCAAGCUCCAUAGGUUGAGAUGUCGGCUGCCCGCAGUCUCCCCGCCAAACCGUUUGGCCCCUGCGGCGAAGCUCAACACAAGGCAACGCCAGUGUGCGAAGAGAGACGCCCAUAUGCUUGCCCAGCGCACGAGAUGGCUGUCGCGCCGGUGGGCUUAAGCGGCAAGGCAAACACACUUAGGCUUGACGGCCGAAAUAAAGGAGCAAAGAAAAUGUAGACGACGACGUACAGCAAUACCGGAGAAGCGGAGAUGAACAGCACACAUAGCUCCGGGCUUUGAAGUGCCGCGCCGCCGCUUCACAGAAGAGGCGGCUUCUGCGGCAAUA